rnacentral:rRNA from 1 species
AUUGAACGCUGGCGGCAGGCCUAACACAUGCAAGUCGAACGAGUGGCGGACGGGUGAGUAAUGACUGGGAAACUGCCUGAUGGAGGGGGAUAACAACUGGAAACGGUAGCUAAUACCGCAUACCAUCAGAUCUGCCCAGAUGGGUUGGGCUAGUUGGUGGGGUAACGGCUCACCAAGUCGACGAUCCCGAGCGGGUCUGAGAGGAUGACCAGCAACACUGGAACUUAGACACGGUCCAGACUCCUACGGGAGUCAGCAGUGGGGAAUAUUGCACAAUGGGCGCAAGCCUGAUGCAGCCAUGCCGCGUGUUUGAAGAAGGCCUUCGGGUUGUAAAGUACUUUCAGCGGGGAGGCGUUACCCGCAGAAGAAGCACCGGCUAACUCCGUGCCAGCAGCCGCGGUAAUAC